GUUGAUAAGGUUAAGUGAAUAAGGGCGCACGGUGGAUGCCUUGGCACUAGGAGCCGAUGAAGGACGGGACUAACACCGAUAUGCUUUGGGGAGCUGUACGUAAGCUAUGAUCCAGAGAUUUCCGAAUGGGGGAACCCAGCAUCUUUAAUAGGAUGUUACGAUUGUGUGAAUACAUAGCACAUUCGAGGUAGACGCAGAGAACUGAAACAUCUAAGUACCUGCAGGAAGAGAAAGAAAAUUCGAUUCCCUGAGUAGCGGCGAGCGAAACGGGAAAAGCCCAAACCAACAAGCUUGCUUGUUGGGGUUGUAGGACUCCAAUAUGGUCGUUCUUUCAGAUAGUCGAAUGACUUGGAAAAGUCAGUCAAAGAGGGUAAAAACCCCGUAGACGAAAUGUGGAAGACACCUAGGAGGAUCCUGAGUACGGCGGAACACGAGAAAUUCCGUCGGAAUCCGGGAGGACCAUCUCCCAAGGCUAAAUACUCCCUAGUGACCGAUAGUGAACCAGUACCGUGAGGGAAAGGUGAAAAGCACCCCGGAAGGGGAGUGAAAUAGAACCUGAAACCGUGUGCCUACAACAAGUCAAAGCCCGUUAAUGGGUGAUGGCGUGCCUUUUGUAGAAUGAACCGGCGAGUUACGAUUGCAUGCGAGGUUAAGUUGAAGAGACGGAGCCGCAGCGAAAGCGAGUCUGAAUAGGGCGUUUGAGUAUGUAGUCGUAGACCCGAAACCAUGUGAUCUACCCAUGUCCAGGUUGAAGGUGCGGUAAAACGCACUGGAGGACCGAACCCACGUACGUUGAAAAGUGCGGGGAUGAGGUGUGGGUAGCGGAGAAAUUCCAAACGAACUUGGAGAUAGCUGGUUCUCUCCGAAAUAGCUUUAGGGCUAGCCUCGGAAUUGAGAAUGAUGGAGGUAGAGCACUGUUUGGACUAGGGGCCCAUCUCGGGUUACCGAAUUCAGAUAAACUCCGAAUGCCAUUCAUUCAUAUCCGGGAGUCAGACUGUGAGUGAUAAGAUCCAUAGUCGAAAGGGAAACAGCCCAGACCACCAGCUAAGGUCCCAAAAUAUAUGUUAAGUGGAAAAGGAUGUGGGGUUGCACAGACAACUAGGAUGUUGGCUUAGAAGCAGCCACCAUUUAAAGAGUGCGUAAUAGCUCACUAGUCGAGUGACCCUGCGCCGAAAAUGUACCGGGGCUAAACAUAUUACCGAAGCUGUGGAGUACACCUUUAGGUGUAUUGGUAGGAGAGCGUUCUAAGGGCGUCGAAGGCAGAUCGUGAGGACUGCUGGAGCGCUUAGAAGUGAGAAUGCCGGUAUGAGUAGCGAAAGACAGGUGAGAAUCCUGUCCACCGAAUGACUAAGGUUUCCUGGGGAAGGCUCGUCCGCCCAGGGUUAGUCGGGACCUAAGCCGAGGCCGAUAGGCGUAGGCGAUGGAUAACAGGUUGAUAUUCCUGUACCCGUUGUUUUUGUUUGAGCAAUGGAGGGACGCAGGAGGCUAAGGAAUGCAGACGAUCGGAAAUGUCUGUCCAAGCAGUAAGUCUGAAGAGGAGUCAAAUGCUUCUUUUCUUAAGGACAAGCUGUGAUGGGGAGGGAAAUAAUAGUACCGAAGUUCCUGAUGUCACACUGCCGAGAAAAGCUUCUAGUGAGAAAACAGCGGCCCGUACCGCAAACCGACACAGGUAGUCGAGGAGAGAAUCCUAAGGUGAGCGAGAGAACUCUCGUUAAGGAACUCGGCAAAAUGACCCCGUAACUUCGGGAGAAGGGGUGCUGAUCAUACGAUCAGCCGCAGUGAAUAGGCCCAAGCGACUGUUUAUCAAAAACACAGGUCUCUGCAAAAUCGUAAGAUGAAGUAUAGGGGCUGACGCCUGCCCGGUGCUGGAAGGUUAAGAGGAGUGCUUAGCGCAAGCGAAGGUACGAAUUGAAGCCCCAGUAAACGGCGGCCGUAACUAUAACGGUCCUAAGGUAGCGAAAUUCCUUGUCGGGUAAGUUCCGACCCGCACGAAAGGCGUAACGAUUUGGGCACUGUCUCAACGAGAGACUCGGUGAAAUUUUAGUACCUGUGAAGAUGCAGGUUACCCGCGACAGGACGGAAAGACCCCAUGGAGCUUUACUGUAGUUUGAUAUUGAGUGUCUGUACCGCAUGUACAGGAUAGGUAGGAGCCGUAGAAAUCGGAACGCUAGUUUCGAUGGAGGCGCUGGUGGGAUACUACCCCUGCGUUAUGGCCACUCUAACCCGCACCACUAAUCGUGGUGGGAGACAGUGUCAGAUGGGCAGUUUGACUGGGGCGGUCGCCUCCUAAAAGGUAACGGAGGCGCCCAAAGGUUCCCUCAGAAUGGUUGGAAAUCAUUCGAAGAGUGUAAAGGCAGAAGGGAGCUUGACUGCGAGACCAACAAGUCGAGCAGGGACGAAAGUCGGGCUUAGUGAUCCGGUGGUUCCGCAUGGAAGGGCCAUCGCUCAACGGAUAAAAGCUACCCUGGGGAUAACAGGCU
rnacentral:rRNA from 1 species